rnacentral:pre_miRNA from 1 species
UGAACAGAUUAUUGUAAUUCGACUGUAUUCACGGCGUGAAACAGGGGAUUACAUUAUUUUUAAACGGAAAAUGAAUCAAUUAACAUAAUAGACUCCU